GAUGAACGCUGACCAGGAAGUGCUUAACACAUGCAAGUCGACUCGAGUCUUCGGGACUUGGGGUGGACGGCACGGGUGAGUAACGCGUAAAGAACUUGCCUCUUAGACCGGGACAACAUCUGGAAACGGAUGCUAAUACCGGAUAUUAUGGUUUCUUCGCAUGGAGGAAUCAUGAAAGCUAGAUGCGCUAAGAGAGAGCUUUGCGUCCCAUUAGCUGGCUGGUGAGGCAACGGCCCACCAAGGCAAUGAUGGGUAGCCGGCCUGAGAGGGUGAACAGCCACAAGGGGACUGAGACACGGCCCUU
rnacentral:rRNA from 1 species